rnacentral:rRNA from 1 species
ACCUACGGGGGGCAGCAGUAGGGAAUUUUCGUCAAUGGGCGCAAGCCUGAACGAGCAAUGCCGCGUGAACGAGGAAGGUCUUCGGAUCGUAAAGUUCUGUUGAAGGGGAAAAAGAGCGGAGAGAGGAAAUGGUCUCCGAUUGAUAUUACCCUUCGAGGAAGCCACGGCUAACUACGUGCCAGCAGCCGCGGUAAUACGUAGGUGGCGAGCGUUAUCCGGAAUGAUUGGGCGUAAAGGGUGCGUAGGCGGCCUGCUAAGUCUGGAGUGAAAGGUACCGGCUCAACCGGUACAGGCUCUGGAAACUG